CAGGGAAAAAAAUAUGGCGUAGUGGUGAGUAUAAGAGAGAGGAAGAGGAGAAGUGGAAGGCCUCUCUCAGUUUGUUGCUUAUAUACCAAACAAAGAGUCCUGGAAGCCUGCGCGCGAUCAAUCUUACUCGCCAAAAGGUCUGACAGCUCGGUGCCCUCACAACACAUUUAAGGCUUCUAACUCUCCUCCGGAUCAAAUGCAGCCAGGAAGCGGCGAGAAACACUGGCCACUCAGAUUAGAACCAGUUUUGUGCUCGCAGUUGUAGCCGGGCUGUCGCUGGAGGGAAUUUUUUAGAAGAUAAAUAAGAAUCCAGCCAUACAAGAUGCCACCAUUUCCUCUUUGGAGGAGGUAUGAGUGCGCCAGCGGUGAGUAGGGGAGCAGCUUCCACACCUGGCUUUUAUUUUUUGAAUUGUGAGUUUAUUUGCACAGCGAAAUGUUUUGUAGUUUUUUUUCUCUUUCUGUGAGAGGUGCAGAUUUGUGAGGAGGACCAGACCUUGUGGAGUUGCUAGGGGAAGAGAUGGAUGGCUUUUUUGGAAUUACGCACGGGCUUUGUGUGUGAGGAAAGGAGUGGGUGGCGGCUUUUAGUGGACCCCAAGCCUGUCCUACACACUUGUCUUACAGCAGGAUUGAUUUAAGAGCUCUUUCCCACGGAGGGAGAAGCAGUGAAAGAAAUACAGAAUCUUCUGUUUCAGUUAAAAACGUUAUUUAUGAGCUAUACCUGAGCGUGGCGCAUAUGGGUCAAAUCAGUGUCUGACUGUGAAUGCGUGUACAUGUGUGCGCGCCUGUGUCUGAGUGAGUGUGAGUGUGUGUGUGUUGGAUGCAGAAAUACUCAGUGCAUUAGGCUUUUUUUUCUGCUGUGACACACCAUGGUUCAAUUGUUCUAGGUUUCCCUGCUAACCAUAUGUCAGGGCUGCUAAUGUUCAUGCCCUCUGAUAUCAAUCAGUGCAAAAUCAGAGAGGAGAAAUAACACUGCAGAAACACAAAGACAUAACAUGUUAGCAAAGGAAAAAUUCGAGGGGGUUAAAUUUUGUGAAAAAAAAAAAUAAUGUGCUGAAUGUAAUCCCUAAAAACGAGACAUGCUAACGAAUCAUGUACAGCCUCCCAUGCGCAUGUACUUCUUGCUUUUCGAAAGAAUAACUGCGGAUAAUGAAACACAUUUAUAUUUUAAAAAGGGUUUUGAAAAUUGCUUGACUUUUAAUUUCUAAAAAAUCUACAUACAUGGAAACAUGAGUGCCAUUUUCAGCACUCAUGUCUUUGAACCAUCCCUGUAUCUGAGGCUUUUGAUUUGAACUUGUUUUCCUUUAAAUCUGCAAAAUAAUGAAACAAAUCAGCCCCACUUUGAUCCGAGCUCAGCUGUUUUACUUUCCGGCUGCUUUUGACUGAUUGAAAAUUUAAGAGAAUUAUUUUACAGACGAUUUUUCACUUGGCUUUUUGUCUCUUUACAGAAUGUCCACAAACGGCCCGCCUGACAUUUUUUUGAUAUUGUUAUUAUGGAUGUGCCCACGCGGAUGAGAGAAGAGGAAAAGGCCACCGAGAGUUUAACUUCACGUCGAAUAAAGAGGAUGGAAG